rnacentral:misc_RNA from 1 species
UAUUCUGAGACUAGUAUGGAUGCAAUUGGUUCUAGAUAUUAAACAACUCUCGUUUCUGCACGAGAAAGCAUUCCUUGCAGUGGUUGCCUGUUUGGAAAUCCUUCGUCGAGGCAUAUGGAACUUUUUCAGGUUGGAAAAUGAGCACUUGAAUAACGUUGGGAAAUACCGUGCCUUUAAGUCUGUACCUCUGCCUUUUAACUACGAUGAGGACAAGAGUCAUUAACUGAUACCAGCAAAUCAAAAGACUCAAAAUGAUUUUCUGGUUUAUUGUACAAUUCUUUGAUUGUUUAUAAUAUAGUUUUCUUUGUGGGGA